ACCUCUGCUCAGGUGAG
rnacentral:rRNA from 1 species